GGGUCUGCGUUUCAUUAGCUAGUUGGUGAGGUAAUGGCUCACCAAGGCAACGAUCAGUAGCAGGUUUGAGAGGAUGACCUGCCACACUGGGACUGGAACACGGCCCAGACUCCUACGGGAGGCAGCAGUGGGGAAUAUUGCGCAAUGGGCGAAAGCCUGACGCAGCGACGCCGCGUGGAGGAUGAAGGCCUUCGGGUCGUAAACUCCUGUCAAGAGGGAAGAACCGUAUGCGGAAUAAUACGCCGCAUGCCUGACGGUACCUCUAGAGGAAGCACCGGCUAACUCCGUGCCAGCAGCCGCGGUAAUACGUAGAGUGCAAGCGUUGUCCGGAAUUAUUGGGCGUAAAGGGUACGCAGGCGGAUAGUAAAGUCAAAUGUGAAAGGUGUCGGCUUAACCGACAGAUAGCGUUUGAAACUAACUAUCUUGAGUGUAACAGAGGAGAGCGGAAUUCCUAGUGUAGUGGUGAAAUACGUAGAUAUUAGGAAGAACACCAGUGGCGAAGGCGGCUCUCUGGGUUACAACUGACGCUGAGGUACGAAAGCUGGGGGAGCGAACGGGAUUAGAUACCCCGGUAGUCCCAGCCGUAACGAUGAAUACUAGAUGUCGGAC
rnacentral:rRNA from 1 species